rnacentral:rRNA from 1 species
AAACCGUUCAGGGGUAAACCUAAGAAACCCAAAAGAUCGAACGGGGAGAUUCAUCGUCAGCGGCGCUGGCUUCGCGUCGGUGGGCGAUGUCCCGCGGAGCCUCGCGGCUCUCGCGCGGGCACGCUACCGUGCGUCGAUGUCCGGCGCUCGUCGUCGUGCACUUCUCCCCAAGUAGAACGUCGCGACCCGCUGGGUGUCGGUCUACGGCCCGGGUGCGGUGACUGUCGCGUCGCCGGUAAAACGGCACGCGACAAACCCCCAAUCGCCCGGCCGGCUGCUCGGCGGUACGCGCAAGGUAUCAGGCCGCACUGUUUACGGUGCGUCGAGGCCGUCGCAAGCGCGCGCCACGGUACUCGGAGGUUACGGACUUUGCGCCGUCCCCGGUCCUGGCCCGCUGUUGGUUAAAGUACGGCUCACCUUCGACAGGCCUGUCGAACGUCCCUCUCCCUCCCUUGUGGGUCGCGAGGGGGAUCUAUACCGGUCGGCGACGCUACUGCUUUGGGUACUCUUAGGA